rnacentral:rRNA from 1 species
UAACGAAUAUUGGGCAAUGGGCGAAAGCCUGACCCAGCAAUGCCGCGUGCAGGACGAAGUCCUUCGGGAUGUAAACUGCUGUCAGGGGUCCGCAAGCGAAGGAGCCGAAUAGGCUCCGGAGUUGAGCAGCCCCAGAGGAAGCCUCGACUAACUCUGUGCCACCAGUCGCGGUAAGACAGAGGAGGCAAGCGUUGUUCGGAAUCACUGGGCUUAAAGCGGGUGUAGGCGGCUUGGUAAGUGUCGUGUGAAAUCCGACGGCUCAACCGUCGAACUGCACGGCAAACUGCCUGGCUUGAGGUCGGUAGAGGUGCCUGGAACUCUAGGUGGAGCGGUGAAAUGCGUAGAUAUCUAGAGGAACGCCGGAGGCGAAAGCGGGGCACUGGGCCGAUUCUGACGCUGAGACCCGAAAGCGUGGGGAGCAAACA